rnacentral:rRNA from 1 species
GAUGAACGCUGGCGGUGUGCCUAAUACAUGCAAGUCGAGCGACAAGACGAGGAGCUUGCUCCUCUGACGUUAGCGGCGGACGGGCGAGUAACACGUAGAUCACCUACUUAUAAGACUGGGAUAACUUCGGAAGACCGGAGAUACUACUAGCUAAUAUAUUGAACCGCAUGGUUCAAUAGUGCAUGACGGUUUUGCUGUCUCUUUUAGCUGGAUCCGCGUCGCAUUAGCUAGUUGGUAAGGUAACGGCUUACCAAGGCAACGAUGCGUAGCCGACCUGAGAGGGUGAUCGGCCACACUGGAACUGAGACACGGUCCAGACUCCUACGGGAGGCAGCAGUGGGGAAUAUUCGGCAAUGGGCGAAAGCCUGACGGAGCAACGCCGCGUGAGUGAAGAAGGUCUUCGGAUCGUAAAACUCUGUUAUUAGGAAAGAACAAAAGUGUAAGAAACUAUGGACGUCUUGGCGGUACCUAAUCAGAAAGCCACGGCUAACUACGUG